GAUACCCUAUUAUUAUAAAUGUAAAUUUUUAAUCUAAAUAAUUAUAAGUUAUGUUCUUUAAAGUUAAAAAUUUUGGCGGUAUUUUAGUCUAUUCAGAGGAACCUGUUCUAUAAUUGAUAAUCCACGAUAAAAAUUACUUUUUUUAUUAAUUUAUAUAUCGUCGUAGUUUGAAUAUUUUUAAAGAAAAUUAAUAUUCAAUAAUUUUUUUAAAAAAAUAAAAUCAGAUCAAGGUGUAGUUUAUAAAAAAGAAGAAAUGGGUUACAAUAAAAAUAUUUAGAAAGAUUAAUUUUUUAAAAAUUUUAUGAAUUUGGAUUUGAUAGUAAUUUUAAAAUUUUUAUAAAAUGAUUUAAGCUCUAAAAUAUGUACACAUGGCC
rnacentral:rRNA from 1 species